GGGAUGACAGUACUGCAGGUGGAAUUCUAGCCUGCUGCACCACAGCACAGCUCAACUGGAUGUACAACUCUUGACUGGUUUGAAAAUACAAUAUGAUGUUGUGCUGAGCGUGCAGUGUUCUUGUGUCUGUGUCAUAUGAAUUUCUGGAGUGAAUCUGGCAGGAUGGCUGGAGCUGGGACCUGGUGCAGUAGUUCUCAGGUGGUCAGCAAGAUAACAUUCUUGGCUCUGACUCCAGACCUGACCACAACAGUGAGAAAAUA